UCUGCCCGCUGGCGGCGUGCCUAAUACAUGCAAGUCGAGCGAACAGACGAGGAGCUUGCUCCUCUGACGUUAGCGGCGGACGGGUGAGUAACACGUGGAUAACCUACCUAUAAGACUGGGAUAACUUCGGGAAACCGGAGCUAAGACCGGAUAAUAUAUUGAACCGCAUGGUUCAAUAGUGAAAGACGGUUUUGCUGUCACUUAUAGAUGGAUCCGCGCCGCAUUAGCUAGUUGGUAAGGUAACGGCUUACCAAGGCAACGAUGCGUAGCCGACCUGAGAGGGUGAUCGGCCACACUGGAACUGAGACACGGUCCAGACUCCUACGGGAGGCAGCAGUAGGGAAUCUUCCGCAAUGGGCGAAAGCCUGACGGAGCAACGCCGCGUGAGUGAUGAAGGUCUUCGGAUCGUAAAACUCUGUUAUUAGGGAAGAACAAAUGUGUAAGUAACUAUGCACGUCUUGACGGUACCUAAUCAGAAAGCCACGGCUAACUACGUG
rnacentral:rRNA from 1 species